GUGUCAGCAGCCGCGGUAAGACGUAGGGGGCAAGCGUUACCCGGAAUUACUGGGCGUAAAGGGGGCGUAGGCGGUAAAAGAAGUCAUCUGUGAAAACCUAUUGCUCAACGAUAGGCUAGCGGAUGAAACUGAAUUACUUGAGGGCACCAGAGGUAGACGGAAUUACCCGAGUAGGGGUGAAAUCCGCAGAUACGGGUAGGAACGCCGGUGGAGAAGUCGGUCUACUGGGGUGUAACAGACGCUGAGGCCCGAAAGCCAGGGGAGCAAACCGGAUUAGAUACCCGGGUAGUCCUAGCCGUAAACGAUGCUCACUAGGUGUAGGGAGUGGCAAACUCUCUGUGCUGAAGCAAACGCGCUAAGUGAGCUGCCUGGGGAGUACGUCCGCAAGAUUAAAACUCAAAGAAAUUGGCGG
rnacentral:rRNA from 1 species